rnacentral:rRNA from 1 species
GACGAACGCUGGCGGCGUGCUUAACACAUGCAAGUCGAACGGAGUGCCCUUGAAAGAGGCUUCGGCCAAUGGACGGGAACACUUAGUGGCGGACUGGUGAGUAAUACAUCGGAACGUGUCCGUUUGUGGGGGACAACCAUCCGAAAGGAUGGCUAAUACCGCAUAAGACCUGAGGGUGAAAGCCGGGGACCGCAAGGCCUGGCGCGAACGGGGCGGCCGAUGACUGAUUAGCUGGUUGGUGAGGUAAAGGCUCACCAAGGCGACGAUCAGUAGCUGGUCUGAGAGGACGACCAGCCACACUGGAACUGAGACACGGUCCAG